rnacentral:rRNA from 1 species
UUCUAUCAAGUGUCUGCCCUAUCAAAUGACGAUGGUACGUGAUCUGCCUACCAUGUUGGCAACGGGUAGCGGGGAAUCAGGGUUCGAUUCCGGAGAGGGAGCAUGAGAAACGGCUACCACAUCCAAGGAAGGCAGCAGGCGCGCAACUUACCCACUCCUGGCACGGGGAGGUAGUGACGAAAAAUAACAAUACGGAACUCUUUUGAGGCUCCGUAAUUGGAAUGAGUACACUUUAAACCCUUUAACGAGGAUCUAUUGGAGGGCAAGUCUGGUGCCAGCAGCCGCGGUAAUUCCAGCUCCAAUAGCGUAUACUAAAGUUGUUGCGAUUAAAAAGCUCGUAGUUGGAUCUCAGGCAUGGGCGCGCGGUCCGCCUCGCGGCGGUCACUGCGUGGAAAGGUAACCCAUCCUACGCUUCCCGGUUGUUCAGCCCAUGGUGCUCUUGACUGAGCGUUUUGGGUGGCCGGAACGUUUACUUUGAAGAAAUUAGAGUGUUCAAAGCAGGCACGUCGCCUGAAUAAUGGUGCAUGGAAUAAUGGAAUAGGACCUCGGUUCUAUUUUGCUGGUUUUCGGAACACGAGGUAAUGAUUAAGAGGGACAGACGGGGGCAUCCGUAUUGCGGUGUUAGAGGUGAAAUUCUUGGAUCAUCGCAAGACGAACUACUGCGAAAGCAUUUGCCAAGAAUGUUUUCAUUAGCCAAGAACGAAAGUCAGAGGUUCGAAGACGAUCAGAUACCGUCGUAGUUCUGACCAUAAACGAUGCCAACUAGCGAUCCGCUGGUGUUGCUUCAUCGACUCUGCGGGCAGCUUCCGGGAAACCAAAGUGUUUGGGUUCCGGGGGAAGUAUGGUUGCAAAGCUGAAACUUAAAGGAAUUGACGGAAG